rnacentral:lncRNA from 1 species
GGUUAUAUAUGGACCCGACCCAACCCGACCCUAAUGAUCCAUUGGGUCAAGAUUUUUGAUCAUGAAUCGACCUGUCCCAAUCUGAUCUUUUAUUGGGCUGGAUUUAGGCCCAAUAUUCAGACCCGAUUAAGGAACUGGAUUGAUUGGGGUCACUCAUGAUCCGAUCCGAUUUGACCCAUUUGCACUCUUAUCUAACCCAAAUUUGAACUGGAUCUAGUCCAUUGACCGGCC